UACGGGGGGAGCAAGCGUUGUACGGAUUUACUGGGCGUAAAGGGCGCGUAGGCGGCCUCCGCAAGUCAGUUGUGAAAUCUCCGAGCUUAACUCGGAAAGGUCAACUGAUACUGCGGGGCUAGAGUGCGGAAGGGGCAACUGGAAUUCUUGGUGUAGCGGUGAAAUGCGUAGAUAUCAAGAGGAACACCUGCGGCGAAGGCGGGUUGCUGGGCCGACACUGACGCUGAGGCGCGAAAGCUAGGGGAGCGAACAGG
rnacentral:rRNA from 1 species